rnacentral:rRNA from 1 species
UACAGAGGGGGCAAGCGUUGUUCGGAAUUACUGGGCGUAAAGGGCGCGUAGGCGGCCUGUUAAGUCGAACGUGAAAUCCCCGGGCUCAACCCGGGAACUGCGUCCGAUACUGGCAGGCUUGAAUUCGGGAGAGGGAUGUGGAAUUCCAGGUGUAGCGGUGAAAUGCGUAGAUAUCGGGAGGAACACCCGUAGCGAAGGCGGCACUCUGGGCCGGAACUGACGCUGAGGAGCGAAAGCGUGGGGAGCAAACAGG